rnacentral:rRNA from 1 species
AGGAUGAACGCUGGCGGUCUGCUUAACACAUGCAAGUCGAACGGAGUACCUCGGUACUUAGUGGCGGACGGGUGAGUAACGCGUGAGAAUCUGCCCUUAGGUCGGGGACAACCAUUGGAAACGAUGGCUAAUACCGGAUAAGCCGAGAGGUAAAAGAUUAAUUGCCUAGGGAAGAGCUCGCGUCUGAUUAGCUAGUUGGUGAGGUAAAGGCUCACCAAGGCAUCGAUCAGUAGCUGGUCUGAGAGGAUGAUCAGCCACACUGGGACUGAGACACGGCCCAGACUCCUACGGGAGGCAGCAGUGGGGAAUUUUCCGCAAUGGGCGAAAGCCUGACGGAGCAAGACCGCGUGAGGGAGGAAGGCUCUUGGGUUGUAAACCUCUUUUCUCUGGGAAGAACGCAAUGACGGUACCAGAGGAAUCAGCAUCGGCUAACUCCGUGCCAGCAGCCGC